rnacentral:rRNA from 1 species
UAUUAUUUUAUAUGUAUAUAAUAACCUGAGUAGUAAUAGUUUAGUUCUAGAAACUCAAAGAAUUUGGCGGUAUUUUAGUCCUUUUAGAGGAACCUGUUUAGUAAUUGAUAAUACACGAGUGUAGGUACUUUUCUUUAACUUGUAUACCGCCGUCGUAAGAUUGUCUUAGAAGAGGAGGAAUUUUCUAGUGUUUAGAUUAAGAGGUAUGUCAGGUCAAGGUGCAGUUUAUAGGAAAGAUUUGAUGGGUUACAAUAAUGGUAGUUAAUACGGAUAAGAUGAUAAUUAAGCUUUGAAGGUGGAUUUAAUUGUAAAUUUACUUUACUAGUAAAUUGAUUAGGGCUCUAGAAUGUGCACAUAUCGCCCGUCAGUGUCGUCUUAAUAUGAG